rnacentral:rRNA from 1 species
GAUUGUAGGCUGAAACUCGCCUACAUGAAGCUGGAGUUGCUAGUAAUCGCGAAUCAGCAUGUCGCGGUGAAUACGUUCCCGGGCCUUGUACACACCGCCCGUCACACCAUGAGAGUUGGCAAUACCCAACGUACGUGAUCUAACCCGCAAGGGAGGAAGCGUCCUAAGGUAGGGUCAGCGAUUGGGGUGAAGUCGUAACAAGGUAAC